rnacentral:rRNA from 1 species
AUUCCCUAGUAACUGCGAGUGAAGCGGGAAAAGCUCAAAUUUAAAAUCUGGCGGUCUUUGGCCGUCCGAGUUGUAGUCUGGAGAAGUGCUUUCCGCGCUGGACCGUGUACAAGUCUCCUGGAAUGGAGCGUCAUAGAGGGUGAGAAUCCCGUCUUUGACACGGACUACCAGUGCUCUGUGAUGCGCUCUCAAAGAGUCGAGUUGUUUGGGAAUGCAGCUCAAAAAGGGUGGUGAAUUCCAUCUAAAGCUAAAUAUUGGCGAGAGACCGAUAGCGAACAAGUACCGUGAGGGAAAGAUGAAAAGCACUUUGGAAAGAGAGUUAAACAGUACGUGAAAUUGUUGAAAGGGAAACGCUUGAAGUCAGUCGCGUCCGCCAGAACUCAGCCUUGCCAUCUGGCCUGGUGUACUUUCUGGUGGACGGGCCAGCAUCAAUUUCGACUGCCGGACAAGGGCUGGGGGAAUGUGGCACCUUCGGGUGUGUUAUAGCCCUCAGUCGUAUACGGUGGUUGGGAUUGAGGAAUUCAGCAUGCCUUUAUGGUCGGGGUUCGCCCACGUUCAUGCUUAGGAUGCUGGCGUAAUGGCUUUAAACGACCCGUCUUGAAACACGGACCAAGGAGUCUAACAUGCCCGCGAGUGUUCGGGUGGAAAACCCGUGCGCGUAAUGAAAGUGAAAGUUGGGACCUCUGUUAUGGAGGGCACCGACGCCCGGACCAGACCUUCUGUGACGGAUCUGCGGUAGAGCGUGUAUGUUGGGACCCGAAAGAUGGUGAACUAUGCCUGAAUAGGGUGAAGCCAGAGGAAACUCUGGUGGAGGCUCGUAGCGAUUCUGACGUGCAAAUCGAUCGUCAAAUUUGGGUAUAGGGGCGAAAGACUAAUCGAACCAUCUAGUAGCUGGGUUCUGCGAG